rnacentral:rRNA from 1 species
AUUGAACGCUGGCGGCAUGCCUUACACAUGCAAGUCGAACGGCAGCACGGGGCAACCUGGUGGCGAGUGGCGAACGGGUGAGUAAUGCAUCGGAACGUACCUUUCAGUGGGGGAUAACGUAGCGAAAGUUACGCUAAUACCGCAUAUUCUGUGAGCAGGAAAGCAGGGGAUCGCAAGACCUUGCGCUGAUUGAGCGGCCGAUGUCAGAUUAGCUAGUUGGUGAGGUAAAGGCUCACCAAGGCGACGAUCUGUAGCGGGUCUGAGAGGAUGAUCCACCACACUGGAACUGAGACACGGUCCAGACUCCUACGGGAGGCAGCAGUGGGGAAUUUUGGACAAUGGGGGCAACCCUGAUCCAGCCAUGCCGCGUGAGUGAAGAAGGCCUUCGGGUUGUAAAGCUCUUUCGGCCGGGAAGAAAUCGCACAGGCUAAUACCUUGUGUGGAUGACGGUACCGGAAUAAGAAGCACCGGCUAACUACGUGCCAGCCGCCGCCGUAACAC